rnacentral:lncRNA from 1 species
ACAGAGAAAGUAUAGCUUUGUGUUUGUACCCCUGGUCUGGAAAGAUCAUGCUCAAUUUGCUUGUAGGGAUGCACAGCUUGAUUAGCACUAGGAGCUGUGAGAGGCUCAAUCACGCUCAAUGAGGAUGGAAUCUUUGGAGAUUUAAGCUCCUAAAAUCUAAGAAGUCUCCCCUAAGCGCGUGUGAACUGAUUUUUUUUCAAAGUCUUAUAACUUGGCCAGAUUUGGGCAGAUUUUAACAGGGAUAGCAAAAAGUACAGCCAUGACAUAAAUGCCACCCCCUGACAAUUUUCAAGACCCUGCUCUGAAGUAUGGGGGAACUAGAGCUCUCCAGGUAAAAAGUUGUCCGAAUUUUUUACCAUGGGCAAAAUUAUAUAUGGUUCCCUAGCAUAAUUCUCAUUUUGGUUGAAAUUUUCCCCAAAAAUUCAGCCUGAAGCAGACACCUACCUUGGAAAAUUUCAUCCCAAACAGCUACAGUUUGGCAAAGUUAUACGCAAUGGAAAACAGGGUCUUAUAAUGGGAAGUGUCAGCACCUUAAUAAUAGGUAGUGCUACCAGACCUGCCUAUAAUAAUAAAUGUAACUUAGUAUAAAACAGUGCAUGUCUCCUCAUUAAGAAAAAUACUGAACAUACUGCCCCAAUUAAUUGGCUGCAUACUUCUUUGUAUUUUGUGAGUUUGUGCAGAAGAAGGGGUCCAUGUACAUGAAUCCGGCCCAAAUUUGCACUUGUAAAGUGGAUUCUAUAUUGAUCUUGUUCAGUUAGUAAAUUGUUAGAAGAUAAAAGUCUCCAUGUGUAAGACUAGAAAGCUAAUGGAAUGCCAUUGAUAGAUCAGUUUUCAUUGUGUGGUACUUGAAUUUAAAAAUGUAAAUUGUUUUUCUGUUCAGGGAGACAAGGGCACACAAGGUCUUCCAGGACUUCCAGGAAGAGUAAUAAGUACACUGGAAACUUAUGGUGAAAAAGGAGACAUUGGUCCUCCAGGUUUUCCAGGAUUAAAAGGUGAACAAGGUGAAAAAGGUAUGCAUUUUUAUUACGUUUUUGUUUUCAUAUAUGCUCUUCAAUUCUUUUUAAAGGAGAAUAUUAUUGAAUUACUU